AUGGUACUCGGUGGUGCACACCUUUGGCCCCUGCCACUGCGCUCGGGAGUCCGCCGGCGGGUGCCAGGUAGCUUUGCGCCCGGUUCCUUCUCUCUGGCUUUCCGAUUCGAAUUUGGCUGUGCCGGGGCGAGGGGCUUCCCGGAACUCUCGCGAGGUGGCCGCACGCUGAGAUUGUAUCGAUGCUAGGUAACUCUGUCUUCUUUGUGCCUAAAAUGGUAAUCUCCUUGACCCUGCAGUAUGUUUAAGAAGCAUUUUACUUUUACAAAUAUGCUUCAGCCCUUACAUAUAUGAAGGAAGAGUGAAUGAAUU